rnacentral:rRNA from 1 species
UACGAGGGGAGCAAGCGUUGUUCGGAUUUACUGGGCGUAAAGGGCGCGUAGGCGGUCGUGACAAGUCACUUGUGAAAUCUCCGGGCUUAACUCGGAACGGUCAAGUGAUACUGUCGGACUAGAGUACAGAAGGGGCAACUGGAAUUCUCGGUGUAGCGGUGAAAUGCGUAGAUAUCGAGAGGAACACCUGCGGCGAAAGCGGCGCACUGGACCACAACUGACGCUGAGGCGCGAAAGCUAGGGGAGCAAACAGG